rnacentral:rRNA from 1 species
AACGAACGCUGGCGGCAGGCCUAACACAUGCAAGUCGAGCGAGAUCUUCGGAUCUAGCGGCGGACGGGUGAGUAACGCGUGGGAACGUGCCCCUUGGUACGGAAUAGCCCCGGGAAACUGGGAGUAAUACCGUAUGAGCUCUACGGAGGAAAGAUUUAUCGCCAAGGGAUCGGCCCGCGUUGGAUUAGGUAGUUGGUGGGGUAAUGGCCUACCAAGCCGACGAUCCAUAGCUGGUUUGAGAGGAUGAUCAGCCACACUGGGACUGAGACACGGCCCAGACUCCUACGGGAGGCAGCAGUGGGGAAUCUUAGACAAUGGGCGCAAGCCUGAUCUAGCCAUGCCACGUGAGCGAUGAAGGCCUUAGGGUUGUAAAGCUCUUUCAGCGAGGAAGAUAAUGACUGUACUCGCAGAAGAAGCCCCGGCUAACUCCGUGCCAGCCGCCGCAGUAAGAC